rnacentral:rRNA from 1 species
AACGAACGCUGGCGGCAUGCCUAACACAUGCAAGUCGAACGAGACCUUCGGGUCUAGUUGCGCACGGGUGCGUAACGCGUGGGAAUCUGCCCUUGGGUUCGGAAUAACAGUUGGAAACGACUGCUAAUACCGGAUGAUGACGUAAGUCCAAAGAUUUAUCGCCCAGGGAUGAGCCCGCGUAGGAUUAGCUAGUUGGUGGGGUAAAGGCCUACCAAGGCGACGAUCCUUAGCUGGUCUGAGAGGAUGAUCAGCCACACUGGGACUGAGACACGGCCCAGACUCCUACGGGAGGCAGCAGUGGGGAAUAUUGGACAAUGGGCGAAAGCCUGAUCCAGCAAUGCCGCGAGAGUGAUGAAGGCCUUAGGGUUGUAAAGCUCUUUUACCCGGGAUGAUAAUGACAGUACCGGGAGAAUAAGCCCCGGCUAACUCCGUG